CUACACAUGCAGUCGAGCGAGACCUUCGGGUCUAGCGGCGGACGGGUGAGUAACGCGUGGGAAUAUGCCCUUUGGUACGGAAUAGCCUCGGGAAACUGAGAGUAAUACCGUAUGUGCCCUUCGGGGGAAAGAUUUAUCGCCAAAGGAUUAGCCCGCGUUGGAUUAGGUAGUUGGUGGGGUAAUGGCCUACCAAGCCUACGAUCCAUAGCUGGUUUGAGAGGAUGAUCAGCCACACUGGGACUGAGACACGGCCCAGACUCCUACGGGAGGCAGCAGUGGGGAAUCUUAGACAAUGGGGGAAACCCUGAUCUAGCCAUGCCGCGUGAGUGAUGAAGGCCUUAGGGUUGUAAAGCUCUUUCAGCUGGGAAGAUAAUGACGGUACCAGCAGAAGAAGCCCCGGCUAACUCCGUGCCAGCAGCCGCGGUAAUACGGAGGGGGCUAGCGUUGUUCGGAAUUACUGGGCGUAAAGCGCACGUAGGCGGACUGGAAAGUUGGAGGUGAAAUCCCAGGGCUCAACCUUGGAACUGCCUUCAAAACUAUCAGUCUGGAGUUCGAGAGAGGUGAGUGGAAUUCCGAGUGUAGAGGUGAAAUUCGUAGAUAUUCGGAGGAACACCAGUGGCGAAGGCGGCUCACUGGCUCGAUACUGACGCUGAGGUGCGAAAGUGUGGGGAGCAAACAGGAUUAGAUACCCUGGUAGUCCACACCGUA
rnacentral:rRNA from 2 species